AUAUACGACCGUACCGCAAACCGACACUGGUGCGCGAGAUGAGUAUUCUAAGGCGCUUGAGAGAACUCAGGAGAAGGAACUCGGCAAAUUGACACCGUAACUUCGGAAGAAGGUGUGCCCUAUUAGUGUGAAGUGAACAACGGAGCAUGAAUGGGUUGCAAAAAAUCGGUGGCUGCGACUGUUUAUUAAAAACACAGCACUCUGCAAACACGAAAGUGGACGUAUAGGGUGUGACGCCUGCCCGGUGCUGGAAGAUUAAAUGAUGGGGUGCAAGCUCUUGAUUGAAGUCCCAGUAAACGGCGGCCGUAACAAUAACGGUCCUAAGGUAGCGAAAUUCCUUGUCGGGUAAGUUCCGACCUGCACGAAUGGCGUAACGAUGGCCACACUGUCUCCUCCUGAGACUCAGCGAAGUUGAAAUGUUUGUGAUGAUGCAAUCUCCCCGCGGAAAGACGGAAAGACCCCAUGAACCUUUACUGUAGCUUUGUAUUGGACUUUGAACAGAUCUGUGUAGGAUAGGUGGGAGGCUUUGAAGCAGGGUCGCUAGAUCUUGUGGAGCCAACGUUGAAAUACCACCCUGGUGUGUUUGAGGUUCUAACCUAGGUCCAUUAUCUGGAUCGGGGACAGUGCAUGGUAGGCAGUUUGACUGGGGCGGUCUCCUCCCAAAGCGUAACGGAGGAGUUCGAAGGUACGCUAGUUACGGUCGGACAUCGUGACGAUAGUGCAAUGGCAUAAGCGUGCUUAACUGCGAGACUGACAAGUCGAGCAGAUGCGAAAGCAGGACAUAGUGAUCCGGUGGUUCUGUAUGGAAGGGCCAUCGCUCAACGGAUAAAAGGUACUCUGGGGAUAACAGGCUGAUACCGCCCAAGAGUUCAUAUCGACGGCGGUGUUUGGCACCUCGAUGUCGGCUCAUCUCAUCCUGGGGCUGUAGCCGGUCCCAAGGGUAUGGCUGUUCGCCAUUUAAAGAGGUACGUGAGCUGGGUUUAAAACGUCGUGAGACAGUUUGGUCCCUAUCUUCCGUGGGCGCUGCAGAUUUGAGGAAGCCUGCUCCUAGUACGAGAGGACCGGAGUGGACACACCUCUGGUGUAUCGGUUGUCACGCCAGUGGCAUUGCCGAGUAGCUAAGUGUGGAAGAGAUAACCGCUGAAAGCAUCUAAGCGGGAAACUCGUUUCAAGAUGAGAUCUGCCGGGGCCUUGAGCCCCCUGAAGAGUCGUUCAAGACCAGGACGUUGAUAGGUCAGGUGUGGAAGCG
rnacentral:rRNA from 1 species